GGGGGCUGCUGGCUUCUGCUUUAUGACAAACAUUUGUGAACAGGCUUCUUUGUAUUGUGUGUGGUGGGAGGCUGGACAGAAGCCUUGACCUCCUGGUCUACAUCUACCCAGGGCUGAUUUGCUGAUGUCAGCCAAGUCGUCAAGCUGGGACACGUUCUGAGGUGUGUUGAAGUCACUUUUGGAUUUGACAACUGACGCAUGUCAGUCUCCGAUAACCAAAGAUGGAAAUGGGCAAGCAGAGAAGCCAGCAGCUUUAUCUGGUAGUUUUUACAUGCACAUUGUGAAUAAAUGGCCUGCAUUUGUAUAGCGCUUUACUCAGUCCCUAAGGACCCCAAAGCGCUUUACACUACAUUGUAAAGCUCUAACCUUUGACUGUGAGCUCCACCAAUUUGAUGACAUCCUCCACAAUGUGGUGCAUCUCACGUGUUGGCACAGAGGCAGGCCUGAGGCACGGAGAGAACGCUGGAACCGCUGUUUUUUUUUUUUUUUUUUAUUUAUUUAUUAGUUUUAAACUAUCAAAUUAAAUCACAAUUUUAUUCUGCAAAAUUAGACAAGAUGACCCCACAGAAACAUCAUUCUGGUCACUCCCAGCGAAAACCUUAACAUUUUCAGCUCUGCCACCUCGGCUUCCUGUCUUUUUGUUAGGGCCACUGUGUUGAAACCAUACAUCAUAGCAACCUUCAUUUUCACUAUUGAUGAUAUCCUUCUGUCACAAAACACACCUCACAUUUGUUUCCACCCACUCCACUUAAUAUUGGACUUUGGAAUUUUUUCUUUUUAUUAAAGCCCUGCUAAUUGUUAUCUGGUGGAAGGUCAGACAAUUAGCCAACCACUACUUUAGAUAUUAUGAAAUGUCUGAAUUUCUUAAAAUAAUUAGAUAAAGAACAUACUUUGGAUUUUCCCCAGUAAAUAGUGGCACUGUAAGGUUAUUCCUCCUGUAUGUUUGUCUUUUGUAGACUGCAGUAAUCCUGACAACUUUUUUUUUUGUAUUAAAACUUUGUCCAUUUUGACUUUUCAUAUUCCAGCUGUACAUUCUUUUAAAAGCAAAUCUUUGCAUUUCCAGAACGGAUAAACUGUCACUUGUUUUUGUUCACAAAUCUGACUCUGAAACACAUUGCGUAACACCGCGGUCUA